rnacentral:rRNA from 1 species
GUUUCGGCGGCCAUGGCGAAGGGGAAACACCCAGUUCCAUUCCGAACCUGGAAGUUAAGCCCUUCAGCGCCGAUGGUACUGCACGCGGGAGCGUGUGGGAGAGUAGGACGUCGCCGGACAAC